GAAAAGUUGGGAUAUUUUACGUGAUUUGGGGUGGGAUUUAUUGGGGUGGGACUUGGAUUUUUUGGGCGAUUCGGGUGAUUUUUGGGGCGGGAUUUUGGUGCGAUUCGGAGCACUUUGGGCUGGAUUCUGGGGAUUUUGGGGCGGGAUUUUUUGUGCGAUUCGGGUGAUUUUUGGGGCGGGAUUUUUCAGAGAUUCAGGUGAUUUUUGGGGCAGGAUUUUUCGGUGAUUCGGAGCACUUUGGGCUGGAUUCGGGGGAUUUUGGGGUGGGAUUUUUUGGGCGAUUCGGGUGAUUUUGGGAUGGGAUUUUUUGGGCGAUUCGGGUGAUUUUUGGGGCGGGAUGUUUUGGCGAUUCGGGGGAUUUUGGGGUGGGAUUUUUUGGGCGAUUCGGGUGAUUUUUGGGGCAGGAUUUUUCAGCGAUUCGGAGCACUUUGGGCUGGAUUCGGGGGAUUUUUGGAGCGGGAUUUUCAUGUGAUUCAGGUGAUUUUUGGGGCAGGAUUUUUCGGCGAUUCGGAGCACUUUGGGCUGGAUUCGGGGAUUUUGGAGCGGGAUUUUUGUGCGAUUUGGGGAUUUUUGGGGCAGGAUUUUGGUGCGAUUUGGAGCACUUUGGGCUGGAUUUGGGGAUUUUGGGGCGGGAUUUUUUGUGCGAUUUGGGGAUUUUUGGGGCAGGAUUUUUCGGCGAUUCGGAGCACUUUGGGCUGGAUUCGGGGGAUUUUGGGGUGGGAUUUUUCGGCGAUUCGGAGCACUUUGGGCUGGAUUCGGG
rnacentral:lncRNA from 1 species